UGUAGAAAAAAAGGAUUUACAACUACCAGUUACUGGGCAGAAGACCAAAGGUGAGAAUAUCCAUCAACGGUUAGGAUGAACAUAUCAAGGAUAAACUCAACAGGGAAGAAGAUCAGUCACCGGUUAAGAUGAACAUAUCAAGAAUAAACUUGCCUGGGAUUGUCAAGGAGGAUACGUGUCAUUGGUUAGGAUGAUCAUAUCAAGGAUAAACCAACUGAACAAAAAGU
rnacentral:lncRNA from 1 species